rnacentral:lncRNA from 10 species
CCCUGCUAGAAUGCUUCCUGCCCACAGCUUGAAUUCCAGGUUUCACACAGGAAGAGGAGGGGCCAGGCUCUUUCCCACUGCAAAGGGCAAGAACUUCCAGAGGCUCCACCACAGGGUGCAUUCCCAGCACACAAGCUGGUUGGAAUUUUCCAGAGGGAAGCUCUCUAUGGACGACUGCCCCAGCCACAUUGUUUUGUGAGAACACCCGAUGGAAAACAAUA